rnacentral:rRNA from 1 species
GACGAACCGAGCGAACGUUAAUCGGAAUCACUGGGCGUAAAGCGCGCGUAGGCGGUCUGUUAAGUGGGAUGUGAAAUCCCCGGGCUUAACCUGGGAAUUGCAUUUCAAACUGGCCGACUAGAGUACGGUAGAGGGAGGUAGAAUUUCCUGUGUAGCGGUGAAAUGCGUAGAUAUAGGAAGGAAUACCAGUGGCGAAGGCGGCCUCCUGGAUCGAUACUGACGCUGAGGCGCGAAAGCGUGGGGAGCAAACAGG